rnacentral:misc_RNA from 1 species
UGUUUGUGAAGGGAUUACUUGGCUGGUUUAUGCAAGUUGCAUUGCUCAAAGUAACGCUGCUUUCAUUGGGUAGUGGAGAGGCACCCUUAUUGGACAUUGUUGCAUAUGCUGGGUAUACUUUCACAGGGAUGUGUUUGGCUGUCCUAGGAAAGAUUUUAUUCAAAUACUCAUACUACUUUUUGAUGCCAUGGACCUGCUUAUGUAUGGGAGUUUUCUUGGUGAAGACAAUGAAGAGGGUCCUUUUU